rnacentral:rRNA from 1 species
GACGAACGCUGGCGGUGUGCUUAACACAUGCAAGUCGAACGGUAAGGCCCUUUCGGGGGUCCACGAGUGGCGAACGGGUGAGUAACACGUGAGUAACCUGCCCUCAUCUCUGGGAUAACAGUCGGAAACGGCUGCUAAUACUGGAUAUGAGCUUGCAAGGCAUCUUGUGGGUUGGAAAGAUUUUUUUGGUUGGGGAUGGACUCGCGGCCUAUCAGCUUGUUGGUGAGGUAGUGGCUCACCAAGGCUUCGACGGGUAGCCGGCCUGAGAGGGCGACCGGCCACAUUGGGACUGAGAUACGGCCCAAACUCCUACGGGAGGCAGCAGUGGGGAAUAUUGCACAAUGGACGGAAGUCUGAUGCAGCAACGCCGCGUGCGGGAUGACGGCCUUCGGGUUGUAAACCGCUUUCAAUUGUGACGAAGCUUUUUGUGACGGUAGCAGUAGAAGAAGCACCGGCUAACUACGUG